GACGAACGCUGGCGGCGUGCUUAACACAUGCAAGUCGAACGGAAAGGCCCCCUUGUGGGGUACUCGAGUGGCGAACGGGUGAGUAACACGUGAGUAACCUACCCUUGACUUUGGGAUAACUUCAGGAAACUGGGGCUAAUACCGGAUAGGAGCUCCUGCUGCAUGGUGGGGGUUGGAAAGUUUCGGCGGUUGGGGAUGGACUCGCGGCUUAUCAGCUUGUUGGUGGGGUAGUGGCUCACCAAGGCUUUGACGGGUAGCCGGCCUGAGAGGGUGACCGGCCACAUUGGGACUGAGAUACGGCCCAGACUCCUACGGGAGGCAGCAGUGGGGAAUAUUGCACAAUGGGCGGAAGCCUGAUGCAGCAACGCCGCGUGCGGGAUGACGGCCUUCGGGUUGCAAACCGCUUUCGCCUGUGACGAAGCGUGAGUGACGGUAAUGGGUAAAGAAGCACCGGCUAACUACGU
rnacentral:rRNA from 1 species